GAUGAGAUUAAGGCAUGUAAUAAAAUGUAUUCUAUUGUGUCAGACAGAACCACGUGCUGCCUUGAAUCUUGCAUCAUAUGGAAGUAGUCAUGCUUUCAAACUAACUAAGGAAGAUAUUGUUUUGUAUUCGGCCAAGGAUAGAGAACAAACAAGCAAACAAGAAAGAAAGUUUUGAUUUUUGCAUCUGGGGUGAACACUUUUUAUGCUUCCUUAUUCCAACUGGUUUGUUAGAGUCCGUUUCACAUUGUGGCAUGCAUAACAUUCUUUUGAGUUCUGAGAAUCUUGAGUUGUUGUAGUGAGUUCUUAGUUCAUCAAAAAAGAAUGACAGGAGGUGAACCACAACCAAAGCAAGAUGAGCAGCCACAUCUAGUUAAAGAUUAGUUACCACAUGUUUCUUACUGCAUUACAAGUCCUCCUCCAUGGCCUGAGGCAAUCCUACUUGGUUUCCAACAUUAUCUGGUGAUUCUUGCCACAACUGUUCUGAUUUCUAGCUCUGAUUCCUAAUUCCUUGCUCUGAUUCCUAUCUGGUGAUUCUUGGUCUAGGAACAUUAGAAUAAUCAUAUUCUGCAAUGCCAUUGGUGAUAGAAACGGACGUUCGAGGACAAAUAUUUGAGACUUUUAUGUAAUUAGAUAUUGAAAUAUUGAAGUUGUUGUUUUAUUUUACUUUUGAAAGAAAAAUUAGUAAUAGUUUUGUAGAACAAUACCAUGUGGAAUUAUGUUUGGA